CGCAACUUAUCGGGCCUUUCCAGCAGAACUCGGAAAAUCAUUUAACAGCUGGUUAAAGGAAAGACCAGGCGUGAAGUUGGGAAAUUGUGAACAAAUUCCGGGGCAAGAAAUUGAGGAAAACGAAGAAACCUGUAUAUCUACUGUAAAGAGGGUAACAUCUGAUUUGUAACAAGAAGUGCAGGACAAAACAUGGACUUUCUGAGCGUGGCUUUGUACGUGUUGUCAUGGAUACUGACCCUCAUAUUUCUGAGAGCAGGCUUGGUCAAAGUAACUAGUCGAUUAUUUUCAAAGGACCAUAAAGAAACGAGACAAGAGUUUGCACAAUAUGCUACUGUGUGCCCCACUGUGUUAUUUGGAAUCACACCUUCACCAGAUGGAUACAUGCUUUUGGUCGGAGUCAUCGAGACGCUUGCCUCUAUCCUGCUUUUGGUGCCUUACACCGAU